UAAGCGGAGGAAAAGAAACCAACAGGGAUUGCCUUAGUAGCGGCGAGUGAAGCGGCAAAAGCUCAAAUUUGAAAUCUGGCUCUUUCAGAGUCCGAGUUGUAAUUUGAAGAAGGUAUCUUUGGGUCUGGCUCUUGUCUAUGUUUCUUGGAACAGAACGUCACAGAGGGUGAGAAUCCCGUGCGAUGAGAUGAUCCAGGCCUAUGUAAAGUUCCUUCGAAGAGUCGAGUUGUUUGGGAAUGCAGCUCUAAGUGGGUGGUAAAUUCCAUCUAAAGCUAAAUAUUGGCGAGAGACCGAUAGCGAACAAGUACAGUGAUGGAAAGAUGAAAAGAACUUUGAAAAGAGAGUGAAAAAGUACGUGAAAUUGUUGAAAGGGAAGGGCUUGAGAUCAGACUUGGUAUUUUGUAUGUUACUUCUUCGGGGGUGGCCUCUACAGUUUAUCGGGCCAGCAUCAGUUUGGGCGGUAGGAGAAUUGCGUUGGAAUGUGGCACGGCCUCGGUUGUGUGUUAUAGCCUUCGUCGAUACUGCCAGCCUAGACUGAGGACUGCGGUUUAUACCUAGGAUGUUGGCAUAAUGAUCUUAAGUCGCCCGUCUUGAA
rnacentral:rRNA from 1 species